UACGAAGGGGGGCUAGCGUUGCUCGGAAUCACUGGGCGUAAAGGGUGCGUAGGCGGGUCUUUUAAGUCAGGGGUGAAAUCCUGGAGCUCAACUCCAGAACUGCCUUUGAUACUGAGGAUCUUGAGUACGGGAGAGGUGAGUGGAACUGCGAGUGUAGAGGUGAAAUUCGUAGAUAUUCGCAAGAACACCAGUGGCGAAGGCGGCUCACUGGCCCGUUACUGACGCCUGAGGCACGAAAGCGUGGGGAGCAAACA
rnacentral:rRNA from 1 species